UGUGUUCUGGAUCGUUCCAGAGCUCCCCAAGGGAGCCAAACCCUAACUCAACAAUAUUCAUCAAAUUGAAGGGUGAAUUGAAGCUCAAAUUAUCAACCGAACGUGAAUUAGUGAUCACCAACACAAGGGGAUCAUAAGGCAUAAGGAUCAUGUGGAAAUGGACUCAAGCAAGAAAGGCAAAAGGGUGAAAAGGAGGCAAGGGAACGGACG